rnacentral:rRNA from 1 species
GAUGAACGCUGGCGGCGUGCCUAAUACAUGCAAGUCGAGCGAACGGACGAGAAGCUUGCUUCUCUGCUGUUAGCGGCGGACGGGUGAGUAACACGUGGAUAACCUACCUAUAAGACUGGGAUAACUUCGGGAAACCGGAGCUAAUACCGGAGAAUAUUUUGAACCGCAUGGUUCAAAAGUGAAAGACGGUCUUGCUGUCUCUUAUAGAUGGAUCCGCGCUGCAUUAGCUAGUUGGUAAGGUAACGGCUUACCAAGGCAACGAUGCAUAGCCGACCUGAGAGGGUGAUCGGCCACACUGGAACUGAGACACGGUCCAGACUCCUACGGGAGGCAGCAGUAGGGAAUCUUCCGCAAUGGGCGAAAGCCUGACGGAGCAACGCCGCGUGAGUGAUGAAGGUCUUCGGAUCGUAAAACUCUGUUAUUAGGGAAGAACAUAUGUGUAAGUAACUGUGCACAUCUUGACGGUACCUAAUCAGAAAGCCACGGCUAACUACGUG